UACAGGGGGGUGCUAGCGUUGUUCGGAAUUACUGGGCGUAAAGCGCACGUAGGCGGCUUUGCAAGUUAGAGGUGAAAGCCCGGGGCUCAACUCCGGAAUUGCCUUUAAAACUGCAUCGCUAGAAUUGUGGAGAGGUAAGUGGAAUUCCGAGUGUAGAGGUGAAAUUCGUAGAUAUUCGGAAGAACACCAGUGGCGAAGGCGACUUACUGGACACAUAUUGACGCUGAGGUGCGAAAGCGUGGGGAGCAAACAGG
rnacentral:rRNA from 1 species